UUUAUGUUAGCAGAAAUGUUAAUUCAUUGGUUUGACCAACUACCUAAUAACUACCCUUCUAAACGGACUUCCGGUUAUAAGCGCUUUUACGCAAAAGCUGUUUCAGCUGACUCACAUAAACCUCUUGUUGAUAAUAACCAAAAUACUCCCUCAUCAUCAUCUUCCAAAUUGUCCUUGUUCUUGGUGGUUCAGGCGGUGUUGGUUGUUUCUCGGAUGGCUAUACUGCAUCUGGCUGCGUGUUCAAUGACUAUACAGGUGUAACUACAUUCUCAGCUUGCAAAAAGGAACAAAUGACAGUUGAACCUACAAUUGCUGAAGCUCUUGGCAUCCGCUGGUGUAUGCAGCACGCGAAGGAUCAAAGAAUUAAAGAAAAGAAAUCAUUGUGCAGUCAGAUGUGUUGGUUGUAGUGGAAUGCAUUAGGGCAGAUUGUAAAGCUCUUAUGAAUGCCUUUAGUAAGACUGUAAUUACCAUGAUCAAUCAUGCAAUUGGAGCAUCUGGAGUCGUAACCAAGGAGUGCAACUUAGAUAUUGAUCAUGGUUGGCUUCUGGCACUGAAUGAAAGCGUGCAAGCACUGUUGGCCAUAUCAAACUGAAAUAUUGUUACUGUGUGAAGGCUUGUAAUUACAUAUAUGUAUUAUUGGACGAGCUGGGACAGAUUGGGAAGAGGUAAAAACAAAGGUGGCUUAGGAUUUAGAGGCUGUUAGUAUAGUGCAUUAUGCUUCUUCCUUUGCUGAAGUGUUCAAUGCAGCCUGUAGACGGCUUUGGGUGUUUUGAAGGUUAAUAUUGAUGUGGGAUGCUUUGAAGGCGGGCACACAUGUUGAGGUCUGAUCGUUAGCACCAUGACUGUGAUGGUGCUUAAAUUGGAUUGAUGAACAGAAACAGUUACAGACUAAUCCUGCUAUUGUAUCUCAUGUGAUUGUAGAAACUAACACAAGUAGUAUCCAAGGACAAGCAUUUGACUUUUAGGAAAAA